rnacentral:rRNA from 1 species
CCUGCGGAGGGAUCAUUACUGAGUUUACGCUCUACAACCCUUUGUGAACAUACCUAUAACUGUUGCUUCGGCGGGUAGGGUCUCCGUGACCCUCCCGGCCUCCCGCCCCCGGGCGGGUCGGCGCCCGCCGGAGGAUAACCAAACUCUGAUUUAACGACGUUUCUUCUGAGUGGUACAAGCAAAUAAUCAAAACUUUUAACAACGGAUCUCUUGGUUCUGGCAUCGAUGAAGAACGCAGCGAAAUGCGAUAAGUAAUGUGAAUUGCAGAAUUCAGUGAAUCAUCGAAUCUUUGAACGCACAUUGCGCCCGCCAGCAUUCUGGCGGGCAUGCCUGUUCGAGCGUCAUUUCAACCCUCAAGCUCUGCUUGGUGUUGGGGCCCUACAGCUGAUGUAGGCCCUCAAAGGUAGUGGCGGACCCUCCCGGAGCCUCCUUUGCGUAGUAACUUUACGUCUCGCACUGGGAUCCGGAGGGACUCUUGCCGUAAAACCCCCAAUUUUCCAAAGGUUGACCUCGGAUCAGGUAGGAAUACCCGCUGAACUUAAGCAUAUCAAUAA